UACGUAGGGGGCAAGCGUUGUCCGGAAUCAUUGGGCGUAAAGCGCGUGUAGGCGGCCAGGUAAGUCCGUUCUGAAAGCCCGGGGCUCAACCCCGGGAGGCGGAUGGAUACUGCUUGGCUCGAGUCCGGAAGAGGCGAGUGGAAUUCCCGGUGUAGCGGUGAAAUGCGCAGAUAUCAGGAGGAACACCGGUGGCGAAGGCGGAUCUCUGGGCCAUUACUGACGCUGAGGAGCGAAAGCGUGGGGAGCAAACAGG
rnacentral:rRNA from 1 species